CCCUUUUGGGUAAUGGCGGCGGAUAAAAAGCGCCUGGAUCCAACAAUGGAGCCGGGCUACAAUCCUGCUCAGGCUGGCUGGUAUUCUUGGUGGGAGGCGUGUGGAUUUUUUGGAGCGGAUGCGGCCAAUGCGUUUGAAUAAUUUGGGAACUUGGUUGAAGGACGCAAGCAGCUGCAACACUCUGCAGGACUUUCAAGCAGUCCAGAAGAAAGAAUUGGAAGCAGUGUAUACACCCUUCGUCCCUGAAGCCUUCGAGUCGAGAAGAUCGUACGUCAAACAGCUUGAUUGAUCCGCCUUCCAUAGCAACAGCAAAUACCAGGCCUUGUUGAUCAUACGCCAUAGACGGCCUUCCCCGGACUCUAAGAAGAUCCUCGCUUUCCAGCCGCAGAGGUUAUCAAAGGCGCGUGCUAUGGGAGAAAUGCUUACAGCCACAUACGUAAAUCUUGCUGGCCACAAACUUUGCGUGCUUUCCAGACAUCCAGGAAUAGAACAGCAAUCAAUCGCAAAAGCCACCAGUACCAGCGGACGCAUCAGAAUGUGCAAAGAUUUCUUGCAGCAGUGCUUUCACUUGGAAGACCGACUGCGAGCCAAGUACAAUCCCAAUCCCGUGCUAAGCUGGCGAAACCUUGUCGUUGGGUAUACAAGACUGACAAGAACACAGCGAUUUCGCUAAAGAAACUCUGCAGACGAACUUACAUCCAAGGUAGUUCCGCGCCUACUUCAUGAACUUGUUCAAGAACUUGCGAUGGAAAUCACUCCUGAUCGUAUCGUUGAU